rnacentral:rRNA from 1 species
GUAAAUAAUAAAGGGCGUAUGGUGGAUGCCUAGGCUCUCAGAGGCGAUGAAGGACGUGAUAAGCUGCGAAAAGCUCCGUUUAGGUGCAAAUAACCUUUGAUGCGGAGAUCUCCGAAUGGGAUAACCCAAUAUGUUGAAGACAUAUUAUACCGUAAGGUAGGCAAACGCAGGGAACUGAAACAUCUAAGUACCUGCAGGAGAAGAAAACAAACGUGAUUCCCCCAGUAGCGGCGAGCGACCGGGGAUAAGCCCAAACCGUUAUUGUUUCGGCAGUAGCGGGGUAGUAGGACUGCGACAUUGAUGAAAUAAAUGAAAUGGAACACUUUGGAAAAUGUGAUCACAGAGGGUGAUAAUCCCGUACAUGCAAGUUUAUGAAUCAUAGCAGUAUCCUGAGUAAGUCGGGACACGUGUAAUCCUGACCGAAUCCGCCGGGACCAUCCGGCAAGGCUAAAUACUCCUGAGAGACCGAUAGUGAACCAGUACCGUGAGGGAAAGGUGAAAAGCACUUCGAACAGAAGAGUGAAAUAGUUCCUGAAACCGUGCGCCUACAAGCGGUCGGAGCUCGUUAAUGAGUGACGGCGUGCCUUUUGCAUAAUGAACCUACGAGUUGCCUUUGCCGGCAAGGUUAAGUGUGACGACACACGUAUCCGAAGCGAAAGCGAGUCUGAACAGGGCGUAUAGUCGGCAGUGGCAGACGCGAAACCAAGUGAUCUACCCUUGGCCAGGUUGAAGGCUGGGUAACACCAGCUGGAGGACCGCACCAAUAAGCGUUGAAAAGCUUCUGGAUGAGCUGAGGGUAGGGGUGAAAGGCUAAUCAAACUUGGAGAUAGCUCGUACUCCCCGAAAUGCAUUUAGGUGCAGCCUUGUGAGUUACUAAUGUGAGGUAGAGCGACUGAUAAGAUGCGAGGGCUUCACCGCCUAUCAAGUCUUGACAAACUCCGAAUGCGUGUCAGUUCUAUGUCAGGAGUGAGGGCAUGGGUGCUAAGGUCCAUGUCCUAAAGGAGAACAAUCCGGACCAUCAGCUAAGGUCCCGAAAUAAUUGCUAAGUUGAACUAACGAAGUCAGAUUGCUAAGACAGCUAGGAUGUUGGCUUGGAAGCAGCCAUUCAUUUAAAGAGUGCGUAACAGCUCACUAGUCGAGCGGUCCUGCAUGGAUAAUACGCGGGCAUAAGCAUAUAACCGAAGCUAUGGGAUUGUAGAUGAUACAAUCGGUAGGAGAGCAUUCCAUUCAGCAUAGAAGCAGUAUCGUGAGGUAUUGUGGAGCGGAUGGAAAAGCAAAUGUAGGCAUAAGUAACGAUAAUGCGGGUGAGAACCCCGCACGCCGAAAGAUCAAGGAUUCCCCGGCAAUGUCAAUCAUCCGGGGGUAAGUCGGAUCCUAAGGGUAAGCCGAGUGGCGAUCCCGAUGGCAAACAGGUUAAUAUUCCUGUACUGAUCAUAACUGCGAUGCAGCGACGCAGAGGUGACACUGCUGCGUACUGACGGAAUAGUACGUUGAAACCCGUAUUCUUUGAUACCGGUAGUGAAGCACGCCGGUAGAGAUGAAAGGUGAUAGUACCGCAAUGCUUCGGUUGCGCGGAUAAUGCAGGUAAGCUGACUGCCAAGAAAACCUGCUAAGCUUCAGGUAAUGAUCAUCCGUACUGUAAACGGACACACGUGAUCAGGUAGAAAAUACUAAGGCGCUCGAGAGAUUCAUGGUUAAGGAACUAGGCAAAAUGGUCCUGUAACUUCGGGAUAAAGGACGCUCUUGUGAAAGAGCCGCAGAUAAUAGGCCCAGGCGACUGUUUACCAAAAACACAUGGCUAUGCUAAUUCGCAAGAAGAUGUAUAUGGCCUGACACCUGCCCGGUGCCGGAAGGUUAAGAGGAGAGCUCAGAGGUAACUCGAAGGUUUGAAUUGAAGCCCCGGUAAACGGCGGCCGUAACUAUAACGGUCCUAAGGUAGCGAAAUUCCUUGUCGGGU